GGCACUGUGGCUCAAAGAGGUAGAGCACUAGCCUGAAAUGCAAAAGAGCUCAGAGACAGUGCCC
rnacentral:tRNA from 1 species